CUCCCUCUUGCUCACUCUCAGUUCAGCCCCUCCCGUUGCCUCCAUUCUCGUUCACUCUCAACUCAGUCUGUCAUUCACUGCCGCUGGUUCGUGUUCACUCACAGUGUUCAUCGCUUGGGCUCUCGCUGAUGAAGAUCGUUCUUCCUACUUCUUGACACACAGAGUUCGUUCAUUGUUCAUUGAUGUGUAUGAAGGUGCAGCCAAUGAAGGUGGUAGAGGACCGAGUAUUUGGGAUACCUUCACUCACAAAUAUCCAGGUAGAAGACAAAAGCAAUGAGGAUGUUGCAGUUGACUCGUAUCACAGCUACAAGGUAUUGUCGAUUCAAAGUUUUUGUUUCUUUUGAUGUAAUUUAUCAACUAUCAUCACUAAUGAAAA